rnacentral:rRNA from 1 species
ACUCCUGCGGGAGGCAGCAGUGGGGAAUUUUGGACAAUGGGCGAAAGCCUGAUCCAGCAAUGCCGCGUGAGUGAAGAAGGCCUUCGGGUUGUAAAGCUCUUUUGUCAGGGAAGAAACGGUGAGAGCUAAUAUCUCUUGCUAAUGACGGUACCUGAAGAAUAAGCACCGGCUAACUACGUGCCAGCAGCCGCGGUAAUACGUAGGGUGCAAGCGUUAAUCGGAAUUACUGGGCGUAAAGCGUGCGCAGGCGGUUUUGUAAGUCUGAUGUGAAAUCCCCGGGCUCAACCUGGGAAUUGCAUUGGAGACUGCAAGGCUAGAAUCUGGCAGAGGGGGGUAGAAUUCCACGUGUAGCAGUGAAAUGCGUAGAUAUGUGGAGGAACACCGAUGGCGAAGGCAGCCCCCUGGGUCAAGAUUGACGCUCAUGCACGAAAGCGUGGGGAGCAAACAGGAUUAGAAACCCGUGUAGUCCCAUGA